AACGAACGCUGGCGGCAGGCUUAACACAUGCAAGUCGCGCGCCUCGCAAGAGGAGCGGCAGACGGGUGAGUAACGCGUGGGAAUCUACCGUGCCCUACGGAAUAGCUCCGGGAAACUGGGAUUAAUACCGUAUACGCCCUUCGGGGGAAAGAUUUAUCGGGGUAUGAUGAGCCCGCGUUGGAUUAGCUAGUUGGUGGGGUAAAGGCCUACCAAGGCGACGAUCCAUAGCUGGUCUGAGAGGAUGAUCAGCCACAUUGGGACUGAGACACGGCCCAAACUCCUACGGGAGGCAGCAGUGGGGAAUAUUGGACAAUGGGCGCAAGCCUGAUCCAGCCAUGCCGCGUGAGUGAUGAAGGCCCUAGGGUUGUAAAGCUCUUUCACCGGUGAAGAUAAUGACGGUAACCGGAGAAGAAGCCCCGGCUAACUUCGUGCCAGCCGCCGCUGUAA
rnacentral:rRNA from 1 species